UCCCUGGUGGUCCAGUGGUUAAGACUCUGAGCUUCAAUGCAGGAAGCAAAAUUCCAAUACAGGAGCCCAGGUUCCAUCCCUGGUCAGGGAA
rnacentral:tRNA from 1 species